rnacentral:rRNA from 1 species
UGGGGAAUAUUGGACAAUGGGCGCAAGCCUGAUCCAGCCAUGCCGCGUGAGUGAUGAAGGCCCUAGGGUUGUAAAGCUCUUUUGUGCGGGAAGAUAAUGACGGUACCGCAAGAAUAAGCCCCGGCUAACUUCGUGCCAGCAGCCGCGGUAAUACGAAGGGGGCUAGCGUUGCUCGGAAUUACUGGGCGUAAAGGGUGCGUAGGCGGGUCUUUAAGUCAGAGGUGAAAUUCUGGAGCUCAACUCCAGAACUGCCUUUGAUACUGAGGAUCUUGAGUUCGGGAGAGGUGAGUGGAACUGCGAGUGUAGAGGUGAAAUUCGUAGAUAUUCGCAAGAACACCAGUGGCGAAGGCGGCUCACUGGCCCGAUACUGACGCUGAGGCACGAAAGCGUGGGGAGCAAACAGG